UACGAAGGGGGCUAGCGUUGCUCGGAAUCACUGGGCGUAAAGGGUGCGUAGGCGGGUCUUUUAAGUCAGGGGUGAAAUCCUGGAGCUCAACUCCAGAACUGCCUUUGAUACUGAGGAUCUUGAGUACGGGAGAGGUGAGUGGAACUGCGAGUGUAGAGGUGAAAUUCGUAGAUAUUCGCAAGAACACCAGUGGCGAAGGCGGCUUACUGGUCCGGUUCUGACGCUGAGGCGCGAAAGCGUGGGGAGCAAACAGG
rnacentral:rRNA from 1 species